rnacentral:rRNA from 1 species
AGUGAACGCUGGCGGUAGGCCUAACACAUGCAAGUCGAACGGCAGCACAGUAAGAGCUUGCUCUUACGGGUGGCGAGUGGCGGACGGGUGAGGAAUACAUCGGAAUCUACUUUUUCGUGGGGGAUAACGUAGGGAAACUUACGCUAAUACCGCAUACGACCUACGGGUGAAAGCAGGGGAUCUUCGGACCUUGCGCGAUUGAAUGAGCCGAUGUUGGAUUAGCUAGUUGGCGGGGUAAAGGCCCACCAAGGCGACGAUCCGUAGCUGGUCUGAGAGGAUGAUCGGCGACACUGGAACUGAGACACGGACCAGGCUCCUGCGGGAGGGAGCAGUGGGGAAUGGUGGACAGUGGGCGCAAGCCUGAUCCAGCCAUACCGCGUGGGUGGAGGAGGCCUUCGGUUUGUGAAGCCCUUUUGUUGGGAAAGAAAAGCAGCAGGUUGAUACCCCGCUGUUCUGACGGUACCCAAAGAAUAAGCACCGGCUAACUUCGUG